UGCUAAACGUUGUACUGAUAUUAUGUGA
rnacentral:sRNA from 1 species